GGCGGCGGAGGCGGGCAGAGCGGAGGCCGCCGUGGGGCCCGGGGUUCGCUUAUCCUCAGGGGCGGGCGACGCGGGGGGAGGCGGCCGGGCCGGUCCCUACCUGCUACCGGAACGCGCUGGCUCCUACCGGGGAGAGCCUCUUCCUUCCGCGGCAACCUGGAGGCCGAGUCGCCCAUCCUGAAGGUGGAGCUGCAGAGCCGGAGGAGGCGCCGCGGCGCCGUUAGCAUCGCCCUCUGAGGGCGGGGAAGGGAGGCGAAGGGUGAGCGGCGCGCGGCGGCCGUUGGGACCGGCGGGCGGCGGGGUGGGGGCGGGCGUGAGGCGGCGAGGUGCGAGGCCCGCCCCCUGGCGAGCGGCCCUCGUGUGCUGCGUGCCCUGCGCUGCGCCCUGCGCGUCCCUCGGGGCCUGUGAGCCCUGAGGACCCUUCGCUGUGGGUGUAUCUGCAGUGCUUCGCCGCGCUUCCACCCUCAACCAGGCCUCCCCUCAGCUCUGCCUGCGGAAUUUUGUCUCUCGGAGCUCUGAGCAGCUGUGUGGUGUGCUUUUUGCUCCUUCGCACACUCAUGCACGGUUGUUUCUUUUCGUCAUAGAACCAUAGGAUGGUUUGAGUUGGAAGGAACCCUUAAAGGCCAUCUGUCCUGCUCCCUGCACUGAACAGGGACACCCACAGCUCCAUCAGUGCUCACAGCCCCGUCCAGCCUGACCUUGGCUGUCUGCAGGGAUGGGGCACCACCUCCUCUCCGGGCAACCUGUGCCAGUGCCUCACCACCCUUAUUGUAAAAAAUGUCUUCCUUAAAUCCAGUUUAGAUCUCCCUUUUUUUCAGUUUGGAACCAUUUCCCCUUGUCCUAUCACACCAGACCCUACUUGGAAUCUGUCCCUUUCUUUCUUACAGCCCCCAUUGCCCUGCUGGCCACACUGCUUCCAAUGCAGCCCAGGAUACAAUUGGCUUUCUGGGUUUCGUGCCCAGCUUGCCAUCCACCAGUACACCUUAGAGGGAUUUUUAGCUGCAUGACCUUCUCAGGGGGUAUGUACCCAGCACAUCGGCCCUCUGGCUUUCUGUCUAAGCCCCGACUUGGGUAUGAGAAGGUUGAGAGGGGCAUACACAUUUAGCAAGAUGUGCUACACAUGUUCUUUGUACAGUAAUAUGCUUUAUAAUGCUUUUUUUUUUUUUCCCCUAGACUCUGCUCAUCUUUGCAGCAGUCCACUAUGUCAUGUUUAGUCAACACACUGCAUCAUGAUGAUUGGACAAUUUAUUUUUAUUGUCUUUUCCAAUCUGUAUGAUUCUACGCCAGUCUUGCAUGAUUUCUUGUUGGCUUUUUUAUGUGUAUAUAGAAUACGUGCUAAAUAACAAAUCUUCCAAUACCAGUGUCUAUGUGUAUGUUUGCAAUAAAAACACAGGAACAAGAAGUGAAUGGAGUAUCAAGACUUGCAGAAAAUACCCAUCAUCUUUCAGAGAGUAAUACACGUAAUGUGUAUUUUAUAUACAGCAACAAGCACUACAUUUCCUAAGGUGGAAGACACAGAAGCUGGAACACUGCUGUUUUGUUUUUCAGAGAACUGUUUGUGAAGUCGUGGGCAGGAGAAGGGAAGUUUGUUCCAAAACUGCUGACUGCAAAGAAAGUUUGAGAACUAGGCAGAUGCCUUGCACUGUGAAUUUCAGAAUAAGGGAAAAGAUAAUGCACAAAUGUGAAGCAAAGACAUUAUGGGAAGGAAAUGAGAGUAAUUCAAUGCAAAAUUCAUAUGGAGGGUUGUAAAGAAGUUGGAUGCUUGCCUGAAUAGAAAAGAAUAUGAUAAAAUGACAAUCUAGUCUGACAGAGGGAGGCCAGAUAGUUCUCUCAAAAAUGUAUUGUGCCAAAAGAACGAAGUGCCAUUCACCUCCCAGUCAAACAGGAUUUUACAGGAAUGUGAUGCUCUUGUGACACAGCGUUUAUUCAGCUUUAUAGAGAUGUUGGAUGUGGAUGCUUACAGUGUCGCUGAGAAUUCCUAGAUGCUCCCAAAAGAAUCUGAAGAAGCAGGAAAUCCAUGGUGUAAGAGCCAGGCUUCUCAUAAAAUUCACAUCUCAGAUGGGGACCUGAGAAAUGAGCUGUCCCAUGUCUGUCUUCAGAUUCACUGUUCUUCCCAGAAUAACAGAAUUGUAGGGGUUGGAAGGGAGUUCUGGAGAUCAUCUAGUCCAACCUAAGGCAGGUUGUCUCGAGUUCCUGUACAUGAAACAGCGUUCUCUUUGAAGCACAAGUAGUCCCGUGCUUGCAGUCCAUUUGGAGUUUUAUAUAUAUUUCUAUUGAGAAAUAGGACCAGAGAGGAGCUCAGGUGAUAUCUUAAAAAUCUGCAAUAACUUAAAGGAAAUCCAUUAGAGAAGUAAACAUAGAGAUGCAUAUGAUGGAUAACUGUGAUAUUUCAACAGCAUACACUUCAAAGAAUUGGAAAUGUUCAGUGAAAAACCGUGAAUUCCAUCUAAAACAUAUUCUCUUAUAUAGCAUCAACAAUACUGAUGAUUCCCAACUCUUAUAAGCCACUAAAAAUGAUGACAUCCACUGGACUGGUAGCAAAUAAUUCUCUUCCUCCUUGUUUGUCUCCAUUUUUUUCCAUUUCUCCUUGUAUUUCUAUACUCACUUCACUCUCUGCCAAGGACAUGCAUCUAAAAAAAAUUCAAUGAUUAAUGUUACGAUGGACAGCAGUGCAGUUUUUACUGUAAGAGUUAAUGUGUCUGUCGAUGAAACUGUGAAUGCCCAACCUGAAUCUUUUACUGUGAGCACUCCUGCUGCCUCGUUGUGAGUGGUUCCAUUUUCAUUGCCAUCUUCCUUGCAUGAAUCGAGGUCAAUCAGAGGUGAAAGACAGAAAAACAGACUUCUGUUUGGGCAAUUCAGUCUGCAGAUGAAGUGGCUGAGACCUUUCAGGGCCCUUAUGCGCUCUGAAAAGCCAGCAUCCCCUCUGCUCAGUGUUCCCAGUGGUCUUCUAUGCUGAAUAUGCUGCCCGAAUGUAUUUAGAUUAUGUCUCUUAAAUCAGAGGUGUUCUUUGUUACAGGGAAAAACUGCUUUGUCACCCAUUGCAUUCAGCUGCUUCAUUUGUGAAGCUGACAGCAGCAGAGCAGGGCGCUAAAGGAUUGACAUUGGGACUCCAAAACAGUGGUUAGAGCAGUGACAGAUAGCGGGGCUGCUGAAGCAUUUCGAUUACAGCUAUUAAGGGCAGGAAACAGUCUUUCAUUCUGUGUUUGUAUGGCACUUCACACACUGUGUUCCUGCUUCAGAGCUGGAUCCUAAGUAUUAAAUAGUAAUAAGCCGUGAUGCCACUUAACAAAUAAAAACUGCUGGUUCAGAGGAGUGUUUAGUGCUUCUUCACUCCGUGGAAACAGAAUACUUUUUUAAUUCAUUAAAUCUCCUUUGUAUUUCAGGAAAGUGUGAACUAUCCCCUCUUCCCAUUCUAGAGGCUGAGAAGGAAGAGCCUAAAAUUUACACCAUAGGUUUUUAAAGUUUUCAUACCAAGAAUUUGCCUGUCCAAGAAAGCAGCAGAACCCAAUUAUCUUUGUACUGAUAAUACAUUGUGCUUCAUGUUGAAACGUGGACUUCAUAUCUGCCAACACAUUGAAUUGAAUUAAGAAGUGUAUCAGAAAAAAAAUCACAUUAAAGUGCCUGCCUGUUGCUUGGAUUCCCAUGUAAUAAUACAGUAUUCCUAGUAUAACCAUUUUACAGUGCUGAAGACCUUCAGGAAAUCAGUGUGAAGAAAGAGAAAGGUGCAAAGGAGAAAACAGGAAGAAAAGGGAUGUGAACUUAUCUGUGUCCUUCCAGGCAGGGCUAUACACAGAUUCCCAAUCAUUCCAUUUUUUGGGAUCGUGAUCAAAAUGCAUUUGACAUUUACUGUAUAUAGUCCUUGCCUUUAGAGCAGAAUUUGCUCGCCUUUUUGGAUAAUUGUUUUUUCCACUGUAGCAAAAUUUGCUGUGUUUUGCAACCAGUAAAGCCCCUGUGACUACCAUCCCCCCACCCCCCCACGUGACUAUCUCAUGGUAAUAACACUGAUUGUAAAGCCAGGUUUCUGUUGCAGUGUGCAUCUUCUGGAAGAGCACUGUUUCGGUUUUUGUUUUUUGAUUUUCAAACAUGUAGCAAUAGAGGAUCCUUCGUGGGCUUUGGUGGAUUAUUCAGUGCUUAAUUGCUGUUAGAAACACGCACUUUAUUGUUAGUUCAGCUUCCUUUGAAUCAUAGCUUAUCUUUCCUUGCAUUUCUUGUUUUCUAAUUCUGCAAGUAUUGUCAUUGCCCUUCUUUGAACCCUCUCCAGGUUUUUAGUUGACGUAUUUCCUUACUUAAUUAUUUAUUUCAUUGCCCAGUCUGAUGAAGGUAUGAAUAAUUAGUGCAGCAUUCUGGUACUGGUCACAACAAAGCAAGUACAGAUCUAGUAUGGUUUCCUGGUUCCUGCUUGGUUUCGUGUUCAUAUGUCCAAGGCAGUCAGUAUUAGCCUUGCAGCCCUGGAGGUAUGCUACUGACAUUCCCAAGGGCUCUUCAGGAAUUUAUUACCAAUGUAUAGAAAUACAUACAUUAUGGCAGAUAUGCAGGAAACUAUGUUCUAUGUCUUUCCUUGGCCUCCUUUAAAUUAUUAGGAUAGUCUUGUACCAAUUUCUAAUCAUCUUUGUUACUACCACAUCCACAGUUUUUGGGUCAGCUGCUAGCAGUUGGAAAUUACUGUCUAUAUUCCUCUCUAUCAUUGUUAGGAAUGUCCAAUAAUGGAGCUCAGAACUGAUGCCUACAUGACAUCACUGUAAACAUGCCAACCCUGUGAAGAUUGCCUCGUUGCAGUCACAGUUUGUGACCAGUUAGGUAAUGAGAUCUCUGAAAAUGAACAUAUUUUCAUCAGGACAAACCUGCUGCUUCCCCACUUCUAGCAAAAAGACAUGAACUGGUGCUCGGGAGGUUUUUCAAUCAAGGGAAGUAGAGAUUUUAAGUACCACAAUUCUUUUAGGAAGCAACAAACCUGAAUUCCUGUAUCAGCAGCUGUAUCUGUUACCCAGAAGGACAGUGAAGAUCAUAAUACAGUAAAGCAAUCUACAUGAAACAGUUUCUAGAGAGAGGAGGGAAGAUUAAUCAGUCAUUCACGUGCUUUCCAUUUGUGAUCUAGAUGAGAAUUUGGAUACAGAUUCAGCUACAUAAAUUACACUAAAAAUGGAACUGACGUAGAAGAGCCAUCAGCACUGUACCUCAGAGUAGUGCAGUGAUUUGGGGUUUACAGAAGAAUAUAAAAAACAAGGGACAAUUUAAUGGAGUACCGUGCAUGCCAGGGAGAAGGCAAAAAUGCAGGAUACCAGCAGUGUGCUUACACAGGUUGUUCUUUGUUUUUCCAUUUCAACAUAGCAAUUAUGUAAAAAAAGCUAAUGAAACAGAUAUGCUAUCUGCCAGUUUUCCUUCCUAUCAGCCUGCAUAUGCCUUGGUUCUCUCUUUCAGUGAAGGUUCAGGAUGUAUCUUUAUAGCUGAUCCCAAUAUGUUCAAACAAGCCAGGGUGAUGCAGAUGAGCAUUUUUUGGAUCUGUCCAUCAAUGUUUCUACGUGAAUCAGGCUUAGAGCUCUCCCAGUAACCAGGAGUUAGCAGUUGGCCAGUUUACAGAUGUCUUCUUCAGUGGUGUGGCUUAUCUCAGCUCUAUAAAUCUGGGCUUAAAAGCAGUUACCAGCAGCUGAGGCUCAGCUCUGGGGUUUUUUAAUCACAAUUUCCAGCUGUGGUACAGAGUACUCUGUAGGUCAAUUCCGGUUUCUACUCUGAGAAGACCAAUUACUCAGUACGUUCAGUGGCCUGUGCUGCACAGAUCAGUUUAGAUUUCAAUAUGGAUUUCACCAGAAAGUGUCAUGAUACGGCCCUUCCCUUGGUAAAAUUAUAUUGUUGAUAGAUUUUUCAAUGAAUAUCCUCUGCAUCUUUCACUUAGGAAUUUCUGUGUUUCUGUCCCCUUCAAUGCUAGUUAUGCAGGAUGGUCUUCAUGGAUAGAAAUGAAGUGGUGCAUGUGAGAACAGAAGAAAAAACAGCUUUGGGUAGGACUGAUAUCACCCAACCUUAGCUCUGGCAUCUCAUCCAAACUGAGCUUCUGAGUAUCAUCCAUACCAAAGAAAGGAAGUUUUUUAGGUGGAAAAUGCAGCCAAUGGAAGGUUGGAGCUGAUGCAUCGGUAUCACGUUCACAAGAUGCGGUCCCUCGAUAAAGGCUCAGAGACCUCUGCAACAUCAACACGGGCUGAGGAUGUUCUCUAAAUGCUUUGCACUGUGUCUCGUAGAUUCCUUGGCUUUGUCAGCUGGUGCUAGUUUGUAUGCAGUGGCACUGAUGACUUUAUAAAAACAAAUGACAGAGUUGUUUACACGGCCUUGCUAAAGGAAAUAAUCACAUUUAAUAGUGCUGGUUUCCCAUACAGGCCUUUAAAAAGGGGCUCUCCUGCUAUAUGCUGUAAUAAGCUUUUUAUAAAUGCGUUCCUGUGGUGCUCAGUACAGCCUGCUGUGCUGAUACUAUAAAACCAAAGGGGAGCUUCAUAAGCUUUAAGUGCAAUCAUAUAUUACUGUGCAGCAGCAUUCCCUUUUAUUAAUAAAGUUUGUAAGAAAUACCCAGGCAAAGAUUAAAAAUACAUGUAUGACACUAUCCACGGUAAUAAAAGCUGAUGUUGUCUGGACUGCUUGUUUAUUUGCUAAUGCCGUAUGAGAUGUUUUAAGGAGCACGGUGAAUAUGAUUGAACAGAUGAGCUCUUCCCUCGGGCCCUUCCUCGCCUGCCCAGCACCUUCCCGGGGAUGCUGAUGCUUCCCAGAGCUGCUGGCUGCUUCCUGAGCCCUCUGCUGGGCUCCUGCCUCCACUGCAGCAGGUCAGGGACGUGAGCUGCUUUCUCAUUGACUUGCAUAGGCAAAGCAUGUGAAGAUUAAAGCGGUGCUUCAUUAAAGGUGAUGAGAAGUUUUCACUGUUUUGGCCACAGGUAUCUUAUUUUGCUCUACCAUUCAGGAAUAACAGUGAUUAUUGAAUUGCAACACGGAAAGCUCUUCUGGGAAUAGAUGCACAGCACAGCCUGUCAUUGCUCAGCAAACUGAGCUCAGGUGCUGAGAAGGAGAGAGGUCCUAUGUUUGAGAUUGGAGAAAUCAUAUUGCAAUGGUUUAAGACACACCUUAAAUGCAACCAAAAUAUCAGGACGUUUUCUGAGGCCAGCAGGACUCUUGAAAGAGAAAUCAAGUGCUACAUAAUGUUAUAUUUUGAGGGAAAGAAGUUAACAGCAUAUGUAAAGUAGAUCAGACCACCUACUAAACUACUAUAUACCAAGUACUGACUUUAGAUUCCAUUUGUUACUAUGCUAUGCAGCAUAUUGCUUUGCAGCACAUACAGGAAGGCCCAGGUCCAGAUCUCCAAACAUACUGAGGCAUUGAAAUUCUGUAGGUUCUCUACAUAUUUCAGUCCUAGGGCAAUCAGUGUGUCUUGGACACCUCUCCUGCCCCCAGGGGCUUAUAUUCCAAAUGAGACAGAGUAUCUCAAACCCAUAAUGAGCCCUGUGCAGGAGCUGAUUUUCAGAUGGAGUUUUACAUGGUGAUGGGAUAGAAUUACUAGACUAAUUUAGAAAUAGUAGUGUGAAGAGGAUUAAAGUACAGUUCAUUCACAGAAGAGUGUGUUUCGACAAUUGUGUGGCAUAAGGCAUCAGAAUGAGUGCAAAGCAUUGCAAGUGAGACAGAAGAGUAGUCUAUUAUGAGCCUAGACUAUGGAGAGGAGCAAAACAAGGUGAUAAAUGGAACUUAGAUAUCAGCAAAACUGAAUGUAACUCUGUAGGUGGUCAAUAGCAAUAUUUCUUAUGGAAAAAACUGGACAGUGCAUAAGAUAGGACCGAUGUACAUGGAUUAAACUGAGGUUAUGACUCCCAGCAGCAAUGUUCUCGGACGAUGAAGGGUCCUGCAGCUGGAGUCAUUAAAAAUGCAACAUUUGUCAUAUCGCUGUAAUUGCAGUCCCUUGGUAUCUUCUAUUCCGAGUGUGAGAGGUUAUAAAUAUUGUUGAUGGCUCAACAUUUGCUUUAGAUUUCUUUACAAGGCAUCUUUGCACCACUUAUUCAUGUUAUUUUUGUCAAUGCAACCCUUCAGCUACGUGGUGUAGAUUUACAAUGAAAUCUGCAAUUUGCUUUUGUUUCAGUUCAUGCAAGUUUGGACCCUUCUUUUUUAAAGUGGAUUUUAAAGAUCGCUUUCCCUUCCCACUAGAAGAUGCAAAACAAGAAGCUGAUGGUACGGUUUUAACCUGUCUUUGGGAGGGUGUGUUCCUUCAAGUAUUUUCCAGGAUAGCUGGAGGAAUGCAAAAAAACCCUCAUUUGGGGAUGAGCAGUUCUGGCACAAAUACCAAGAGACGACACUUCCAUCCUUAAAAUAAGCCCCCCGACAUAAGUGAUAAUUUAAUAUACAUCAUGCCAUCUGCUUUCAGAAAUGUGCAAGCUGCUCCUAGAGAAGUUAACGGGAAAUGCAUUUUUCCUAUUAUUUUCAACAUCCCAAGAUGUAACUUGAUGUCACAAAAGCAUGCAUCUAGUCAUCUUUCCCCAAAGUAAAGUAUAGCUUGCCACUGGAUAGAAUGAUAACUGGUGCAAAACCCACUGCUUCUCCCCCCUCUGCCCUUCACAACCUGCCAGAAUUAAAUACAGACGUUGCAGAGUGCUCUGCUGGUUAGAAAGGCAGAUGGGGAAGAGAGGAGCUUUCAGAACCGUGAGGCUCAGAGGCUCUGGCAGCAGCUUUUCUCUUUCUCUGCCAACAGCUUCCACCUUGAGCACUUUUACUUCACCUAUAGAAACAUGUCACCAGGCAAGAGACGUGCCAACACAUGGAAGCAGCAUUCAAGGCCAGAGGAAGGACUGAGCUCACAGUUUCCCCUAUAUGGCACCCCAAAGAAAAUGCUAGGCUAGGCCAAGCCGUGCAUAGGUGUAGCCUUAGCAGGCAAACCCAGUCUGCUGAGUGAUCUUUUCUGAAUAAGCCCACUAGAAAAUGAUGGAAGAAUUUUUCUGUUUUUUGGGGGUUUUUUUGUUGUUGUUUUUCCUAUAUGUUCUACAAGAUGUGAGGGCACCAUAGAAUCACAGUGUAGCUUGGGUUGGAAGGGGCUUAUAGAUCAUCUAGUUCCAAUCCCCUGCCACAAGAACGGUUGCCACCUGCAUGGCCAUGACCUACAGAGGUGCAAUGCAACGCUGGAGUGAUGAGUCGAUUUGUUAUGGAGGGAUCUUUGGAGGUCUCUGCUCAAAUCCUAUGCUCAAAAGAGGGCCAGAUUAGCCCAGGUUGCUCACAGCCUUUGCUCAUCUGGGCUUUGGAUAUCUCCAUGGAUGGCAAUUCCUUUGCCUGUUCAGUGUUUGAUUACUUUAUAGUGGGGAUUCUUUUUCCAUGUGUCUAACCAGAACCUCCCUUGCAGCUGCCUGUGUGCACUUGAACCUUGUCCUUCUCUCUGCACCUACAAAAAGGCUUUGGCUCAAUCUUCUGAACGUUUCCAUUCGGACAGUUGAAGGUGGCAACAAAAUCCACUCAGCCUUGUCUUCUUAAGAUUGAGCAAUCUCAAUUCCUUCAACCUUUCCUCAUACUUCAUGUAAUACAUUUCUUUAGGGAUACUGAGGGCACCGUGGACUCACUCCAGUUUGUCAACAUGAUUUUUGUGGUGGGGAGACCAAAAACUGGAUGCAUUUUGUGGGGAGACCAAAAACUGGAUACAAAUGUGAAACAAUGGGUUUUCUUUUAUUAUUUUUUCACUUCCUAACAGCUCCUAACAUUCUCUUCUCUGUCUGCCUCAGCUCUAAGAUCACAUCUCCGCUGACAGCACCUCACUCAGCACCAGCACUUGUCAGAGUUUCAGAGCUGCUUUUCCCUGUGUGCUUUAAUUUGCCAUGACAGCACUGAACCUCAGCUGCCAUUUUAUCACCCACCCUCUCGG
rnacentral:lncRNA from 1 species